rnacentral:rRNA from 1 species
ACAUCCAGGAAGGCAGCAGGCGCGCAAAUUACCCAAUCCCGACUCGGGGAGGUAGUGACAAUAAAUAACAAUGCUGGGCUAUCGUAGUCCGGCAAUUGGAAUGAGAACAAUUUAAAUCCCUUAACGAGGAACAAUUGGAGGGCAAGUCUGGUGCCAGCAGCCGCGGUAAUUCCAGCUCCAAUAGCGUAUAUUAAAGUUGUUGCAGUUAAAAAGCUCGUAGUUGGAUUUCGGGGCGGCCCGACUGGUCCGCCGCGAGGUGAGCACUGGUCGGCCGCUCUUCCUCUCGGAAGCCCCGACUGCUCUUCGUUGCAGUGGUCGGGGAGUUCGGGACGUUUACUUUGAAAAAAUUAGAGUGUUCAAGGCAGGCCGUCSCCUGAAUACAUUAGCAUGGAAUAAUGGAAGAGGACCUCGGUCCCGUUUUGUUGGUUUCUUGGACCGAAGUAAUGAUUACGAGGGACAGUUGGGGGCAUUCGUAUUUAAUUGUCAGAGGUGAAAUUCUCGGAUUUAUGAAAGACGAACGACUGCGAAAGCAUUUGCCAAGGAUGUUUUCAUUAAUCAAGAACGAAAGUUAGGGGUUCGAAGACGAUCAGAUACCGUCGUAGUCCUAACCAUAAACUAUGCCGACUAGGGAUCGGUGGAUGUUAGCG